UACGAGGGGGGCGAGCGUUGUUCGGAAUUAUUGGGCGUAAAGGGUGCGUAGGCGGUUUGAUAAGUCUGAUGUGAAAUCUAUGGGCUCAACCCAUAGUCUGCAUUAGAAACUGUCGGGCUUGAGUAUGGGAGAGGUGAGUGGAAUUUCCGGUGUAGCGGUGAAAUGCGUAGAUAUCGGAAGGAACACCAGUGGCGAAGGCGACCACCUGGACUGAUACUGACACUGAGGUGCGAAAGCGUGGGGAGCAAACAGG
rnacentral:rRNA from 1 species